rnacentral:rRNA from 1 species
ACGAACGCUGGCGGCGUGCUUAACACAUGCAAGUCGAACGGAAAGGCCCUGCUUUUGUGGGGUGCUCGAGUGGCGAACGGGUGAGUAACACGUGAGUAACCUGCCCUUGACUUUGGGAUAACUUCAGGAAACUGGGGCUAAUACCGGAUAGGAGCUCCUGCUGCAUGGUGGGGGUUGGAAAGUUUCGGCGGUUGGGGAUGGACUCGCGGCUUAUCAGCUUGUUGGUGGGGUAGUGGCUUACCAAGGCUUUGACGGGUAGCCGGCCUGAGAGGGUGACCGGCCACAUUGGGACUGAGAUACGGCCCAGACUCCUACGGGAGGCAGCAGUGGGGAAUAUUGCACAAUGGGCGGAAGCCUGAUGCAGCAACGCCGCGUGCGGGAUGACGGCCUUCGGGUUGUAAACCGCUUUCGCCUGUGACGAAGCGUGAGUGACGGUAAUGGGUAAAGAAGCACCGGCCAACUACGUG